rnacentral:lncRNA from 1 species
GGGAUGAGAAUAUUUUUGAUUUUUUAUGCAAUUUAAAAAAAAUAAAAUUAAAAAAAAGGGAAUUUCAAAUUUUUAACUCAAACUCUAAUCUUUUUGGCUUACAAACUAGGAAUUGCUUUGACAAUUGCUUUGAGUUAAGAAAUAUGAUAGCAGUUCUAGCUUAAGUUUUCGUCCCACCUAUUUUCUGUUAACAUGAUACAAGAUGAUUUAGCACCUACAUGUAAGCACAUGAAUAGUAGGGUAUGUAUACUUGCAACUAAUAUGAAUACUUUUAAUCUUCAGAAUAAUUUAAAGUUAUAUGUAUGAUGAACAU